UUUCGUUAUGCACGCCUCAGUGAUCAGUCACAAAUCACCACACCUUACGAACAUCUAACACAAUAACCUAUUUUUUUUCUUGCCAGUCUGUUAAUUUUAGGAUCGAAGGACAAAUCUCAGAGAGCUCUGCAAGAAGAAUUACACCGUUCGAUGCGCUUGGUUAUGAAUUUAAACAACGAGAAAGGGUAUGAUGGCGGAAGGAAAACUUUCCUCACCAUAUGUAAGUAAAUUUAUGUUACAUAAUACAACAUUUUAAAAAUAGAAUAUAUGGAAAACAUGUAAGGACUAAUACCAAUAGAUAAAAAUAAUAAAACAACUGAAAUGUGAAACAAAGUAAAUAAUAAAAUUAAAUAAAUUCAAAAUAAGAAAAAAAAAACUAUGAAAUAUCUCUUUUCACAGUCUGUAUCUGGUGGAUGGUUUAUGGAUGUACGACAGGACUUGGAAAAUCUACAGAAUCAGGUCGAAGGACAUCAGACUAUACCACACCAGUUACUACAGAAACCGGGGCUUCUACAGCAAAAGAUGUGCAAUCAACAAUAAAAAUUCAAGAUUUAACAUCAACACCAAUUUCUGAAAUCACAAAAAAAAAGGAUCCAAAAGACACAAAAACAGCACAAUCAAAAACAAUUUAUACAACUACAACUAUAAUGGAAACAACAACUUUGGAUACAAAAAGCAUGUUUUCAGCAUCCUCAACUAUAGCACCAAAAUUGAUGACUGAUACAGACACCACCUCUCCAUCAUAUUCAACUGUAGUACCAACAUCAACAACAACAGAUGAAGCAACAAUAACUCUGUUUGACAGUACAACAACUACAGAUGAAACGAUAGAUUUGGCUUCCACAACCAACCCUCCAACAUCUUCAAUCAUAGCACCAACAUCAAUUACAACUGAUGCACAAACCACAACUCUGUCUGACACUAAAACAGCUGCUGAUGAAACAAAAAAUAUGGCUUCCACAACAACUCCUCCAUCAUCCUCAAAUACAGCAGCAACUUCAACAACUGAUGCAGUAACCACAAUAAUUGACACCACUAUAACUAUUGAUAGAAAAACAAAUUUGGCUUCUACAACCACCAUUCCAAUGUCAACAACAGAUGCAUCAACCACAACUAUGCCUGACACCAUAACAACUAUUUAUUCAACAACAAAGCUGGCUUACACAACCCCCCCCCCAACAUCCUCAACUAUAGAACCAGCAUCAAUAACUGAUGCAUCAACCACAACGCUGUCUGACGCCACAAUAACUACUGAUGCAACAAGUUUGGCUUCCACAACCACCCCUCCAAAAUCCUCAACUAUAGUGUCAAAAAUAGAGGGAGCAACCACAACUACAGCUGACUCCACAACAACUAUUGAUGCAACUACAACUUUUGCUACAACAACCGAUGCAUCAACAGCAACUCUGGCUGACACCACAACAACAACUGAUGCAACAACAAUUUUCUCUUCCACAACCACACCUCUGACAUCGACCACUAUGGCACCAGCAUCAAUAUCUGAUGCAGCAACCACAACUAUGCCUGACACCAAAACAACAAUUGAUACAACAACAUCUUUGGCAACCACCUUUCCAACAUCCUCAAUGGUUAAAACAACGUCAAGAACAUCUGAUGCAGCAACCACAAGUAUUCCUGACACCACAACAAUGAUAGAUGCAACAACAACUUUGGCUUCCACAAUCAUUCCUGCAACAUCCUCAACUGUAGUGCCAGUUUCAACAACAACUCAUGCAUCAACAACAACUAUGUCUGACACCACAACAACAAUUGAUACAACAACAAUUGAUACAAUAACAUCUUUGGCUUCCACAACCACCUUUUCAACAUCCUCAAUGGUUAAACCAACGUCAACAUCAUCUAAUGCAGCAACCACAAGUAUUCCUGAUACCACAACAAUGAUAGAUGCAACAACAACUUUGGCUUCCACAAUCAUUCCUACAACAUCCUCAACUGUAGCGCCAGUAUCAACAACAAUUCAUGCAUCAACAACAACUAUGUCUGACACCACAACAACAAUUGAUACAACAACAGUUGAUACAAUAAUAUCUUUGGCUUCCACAACCACCUUUUCAACAUCCUCAACGGUUGAACCAUCGUCAACAACAUCUGAUGCAGCAACCACAAGUAUUCCUGACACCACAACAAUGAUAGAUGCAACAACAACUUUGGCUUCCACAAUCAUUCCUACAACAUCCUCAACUGUAGUGCCAAUAUCAACAACAACUGAUGCAUCAAAAACAACUAUGUCUGACACCACAACAACAAUUGAUACAACAGCAAUUGAUACAACAACAUCUUUGGCUUCCACAACCACCUUUUCAACAUCCUCAACGGUUGAACCAACGUCAACAACAACUUUGGCUUCCACAAUCACUCCUACAACGUCCUCAACUGUAGCGCCAGUAUCAACAACAACUGAUGCAUUAACAACAACUCUGUCUGACACCACAACAACAACAAGAACUGAUACAACAACAACUUUGGCUCUCACAACCACUGCUCCAACAUCCUCUAAUAUUGCACCAAUAUCAACAACUGAAACAGCAACCACAACUCUGUCUGACACCACAAAAGCAUCUGAUGCAACAACAACUUUAGCUACCACAACCACACCUUCAACACAAUCAACUCUAGCACCAGUGUCAACAAUAACUGAUGAAUCAACCACAGCUCUGUCUGACACCACUACAAUUACUGAUGUAACAACAAAUUUGGAUUCCACAACCACCCCUCUAAUGUCAACCACUGAUGCAUCAACCAUAACUCUGCCUGACACCACAACAACAACAACUGAUGCAACAACAGUUUUGGCUUCCACAACCACACCUCUGACAUUGACCACUAUAGCACCAGCAUCAACAUCUGAUGCAGUAACCACAAUUGUGCCUGACACCACAACAACAAUUGAUACAACAACAUCUUUGGCUUCCCCAACCACCUUUCCAUCAUCCUCAAAGUUUGAACCAACGUCAACAACAUCUGAUGUAGCAACCACAACUCUNCAACAUCUUUGGCUUCCACAACCACCUUUCCAACAUCCUCAACGUCUGAAACAACGUCAACAACAUCUGAUGUAGCAACCACAACUCUGUCUGACACCACAACAACAUCUGAUGCAACAACAACUUUAGCAACCACAAACACCACUCCAACACCCUCAACUCUAGCAUCAGUGUCAAAAACAACAACUGAUGAAUCAAAAACAACUCUGUCUGACACCACUACAACUACUGAUGCAACAACAACUUUGUAUUCCAAAACCACCCAUCUAAUGUCAACCACUGAUGCAUCAACCACAACUCUGCCUGACACCACAACAACUACUGGUGCUGCAAUUGUGACUUCCACAACCAACCCUCCAACAAUUUCGACAGUAGGACCAACGUCAACAACUGAUGAAUCAACCACAACUCUGCCUGACACCCCAACAUCUACUGAUGCAACAACAGUUUUGGCUUCCACAACCGCACAUCUGACAUCGACCACUAUAGCACCAGCAUCAACAUCUGAUGCAGCAACCACUGCUCCAACAUCCUCUAAUAUUGAACCAAUUUCAACAACUGAAACAGCAACCACAACUCUGUCUGACACCACAACAACACCUGAUGCAACAACACUUUUGGCUUCCACAACCACACCUCUGAUAGCGACCACUAUAGCACCAGCUGCAACAUCUGAUGCCGUAACCACAACUAUGCCUGACACCACAACAACAACUGAUACAGCAACAUCUUUGGAUUCCACAAACACCUUUCCAACAUCCUCAACGUUUGAACCAACGUCAACAACAUCUGAUGUAGCAACAACAAAUAUUCCUGAUACCACAACAAUGAUAGAUGCAACAACAUCUUUGGCUUCCACAAUCACUCCUACAACAUCCUCAACUGCAGUGCCAGUUUCAACAACAACUGAUGCAUCAAAAACA
ensembl:lncRNA